UCAAAAUUUAGUUGUGAUCAGCUUUUGUAUGAAAUGGGACAGCUAAAUUUAAUAUUCGUACAAAAGCUGAUCACAACUAAAUUUUGAACAUCGGUACAUUUGAGGUCGAACUCUCUAGAAUAAAUCUGCACAAAAUUUACAUUAACAUUCAUGUUGAGUUGUGUACUCCAAAUCCAAUCACUGUGACCAGUUUUCCCUUCUGUGGCCUAAAAUUCAGUGUCAAAGCAACCUAGCAUGAUCUUUGAAACCAUUGACCUUGCAAAGGGGAUGUAGCUCAAGCUAUACCAAACCAGUGCACCAAAUUCAAGAACGAUUGCCAAAAGUGUCAAAAGCUUGUUAUGAACAUAUAGCGCACAGAACAAGGCAAUAAUUAUACUUGCAAGAUACAAGGCUGUUGCAUAUAUACGAACAGGAUCAAGCAUCAUAGUCACUUGACGUUUUGGGCCUAUUAGAAAUGCUGUGCUUCCGAGUGAAAGCAAAUUGCCAAAUGUGAACGUAAUCCCAAACUUAACUGGAUUGAAAAAGACCAGCAUUGACAAAAGGGUACAAGCUAAGCCAGAAACAAAGCAUAUGGCAAAACCGUAAAGCCGCUGUUUGGUGGAGAGGGUGCAGCUGCGAUUGAAAUCGUCCAUGAAAGAGAAGGAACUGGAGUCCUCUGGUUCCGGGGCUUGCUCUUCGUCUUCCACUUCCAUUCCCACUAGCAUCUUCAUCUUCUCGAAUGCUUGGUUCAUCUUCUCCAUUUCUUUUGGGAACUGGAUCUGUCUUCUGGGAACUGGAUCUGUUUGUCAGGAUUUUGUUUUUAUUUUAGAGAGAAAUUAGAUUUGAUUGCUUCAAUUCUAAGUUGCAGUCAGCGAUAAGCAAAGAU
rnacentral:misc_RNA from 1 species